GAGCAGCUUAAGUUGUGACGGCGUGCCUUUUGCAUAAUGAACCUACGAGUUACUUUUUCCGGCAAGGUUAAGCAUCUUGAGAUGUGGAUCCGAAGCGAAAGCGAGUCUGAAUAGGGCGGAUAGUCGGAAGGAGUAGACGCGAAACCAAGUGAUCUACCCUUGGGCAGGUUGAAGGUUAGGUAACACUAACUGGAGGACCGAACCGAUAAGCGUUGAAAAGCUU
rnacentral:rRNA from 1 species